rnacentral:rRNA from 1 species
CCCUUCGGGGUACUCGAGUGGCGAACGGGUGAGUAACACGUGGGUGAUCUGCCCUGCACUUUGGGAUAAGCCUGGGAAACUGGGUCUAAUACCGAAUAGGAUCAUGGCCUGCAUGGGUUGUGGUGGAAAGCUUUUGCGGUGUGGGAUGGGCCCGCGGCCUAUCAGCUUGUUUGGUGGGGUAAUGGCCUACCAAGGCGACGACGGGUAGCCGGCCUGAGAGGGUGACCGGCCACACUGGGACUGAGAUACGGCCCAGACUCCUACGGGAGGCAGCAGUGGGGAAUAUUGCACAAUGGGCGCAAGCCUGAUGCAGCGACGCCGCGUGAGGGAUGACGGCCUUCGGGUUGUAAACCUCUUUCAGUAGGGACGAAGCGCAAGUGACGGUACCUAUAGAAGAAGGACCGGCCAACUACGUGCCAGCAGCCGCGGUAAUACGUAGGGUCCGAGCGUUGUCCGGAAUUACUGGGCGUAAAGAGCUCGUAGGUGGUUUGUCGCGUUGUUCGUGAAAACUCACAGCUCAACUGUGGGCGUGCGGGCGAUACGGGCAGACUUGAGUACUGCAGGGGAGACUGGAAUUCCUGGUGUAGCGGUGGAAUGCGCAGAUAUCAGGAGGAACACCGGUGGCGAAGGCGGGUCUCUGGGCAGUAACUGACGCUGAGGAGCGAAAGCGUGGGGAGCGAACAGGAUUAGAUACCCUGGUAGUCCACGCCGUAAACGGNGGGUACUAGGUGUGGGUUUCCUUCCUUGGGAUCCGUGCCGUAGCUAACGCA